rnacentral:rRNA from 1 species
CCGGCACGGUGAGUAACACGUAUGCAAUCCACCUGUAACAGGGGGAGUAACCCGGAGAAAUCCGGACUAAUACCCAUAAUAUGGGCGCUCCGCAUGGAGAGCCCAUUAAAGAGAGCAAUUUUGGUUACAGACGAGCAUGCGCUCCAUUAGCCAGUUGGCGGGGUAACGGCCCACCAAAGCGACGAUGGAUAGGGGUUCUGAGAGGAAGGUCCCCCACAUUGGAACUGAGACACGGUCCAA